rnacentral:rRNA from 1 species
UACGUAGGGGACUAGCGUUGUCCGGAAUCAUUGGGCGUAAAGAGCGCGUAGGCGGCCCGGUAAGUCCGCUGUGAAAGUCAAAGGCUCAACCUUUGAAUGUCAGCGGAUACUGCCGGGCUAGAGUCCGGAAGAGGCGAGUGGAACUCCUGGUGUAGCGGUGGAAUGCGCAGAUAUCAGGAAGAACACCAACGGCGAAGGCAGCUCGCUAGGACGGUACUGACGCUGAGGCGCGAAAGCGUGGGGAGCGAACAGG